UACGAAGGGGGCUAGCGUUGUUCGGAAUUACUGGGCGUAAAGCGCACGUAGGCGGAUUGUUAAGUUAGGGGUGAAAUCCCAGGGCUCAACCCUGGAACUGCCUUUAAUACUGACAAUCUCGAGUCCGAGAGAGGUGAGUGGAAUUCCGAGUGUAGAGGUGAAAUUCGUAGAUAUUAGGAAGAACACCAGUGGCGAAGGCGGAUCUCUGGGCCAUUACUGACGCUGAGGAGCGAAAGCGUGGGGAGCGAACAGG
rnacentral:rRNA from 1 species